UCCUGUGUUUUUAUUUCAUGUUUUCCACAGGGUCCAUGAAUGCAAAAUGAAGCUAUUCCUCCUAAUCUGCUUGCUGGUUUCUUGCUGUUGCCAUGUUGGGGCAGUGAACCGGGAGUACUUUAUUGGCAUUACAGAGACUGUCUGGAACUAUGCACCGGGCAAUGCCAGUGCCAUCUCUGGGCAGCUUUUUGCAGAAGAAGAGCAGGCUGAAGUCUUUCUCAAAAGAGGACCACACAGGAUAGGAAACACUUACAAGAAGGCUAUCUACGUUCAGUAUACUAAUCACUUAUAUGAUGUGAUAGUCGACAAACCUUCCUGGCUGGGUUUUUUAGGUCCUAUAAUUAAGGGAGAAGUUGGAGAUUCCAUUACUAUUCACUUGAAAAACUUUGCUUCCAGAAACUACACGCUGCAUCCGCAUGGUGUAAGAUACACAAAAGAAAAUGAAGGUGCUUUUUAUCCUGACACCACCAAAGAUUUGCAAAAGCGAGAUGAUGCUGUGGAGCCUGGAGGCCAGUACACUUACACGUGGGAUGUGACAGAAGAUCAAGGUCCAGCUGAAGCAGAUGCAGACUGCAUAACCAGGGCUUACCACUCCCACAUAGAUGCUCCAAGAGAUGUUGCCUCAGGGCUUGUUGGGCCUUUAAUAAUUUGCAGGAAAGAUACAAUGAAUAGGGACACUGAUCAACACUUUGAUGCUGAAUUUAUCCUUAUGUUUUCUGUGGUGGAUGAAAAUCUCAGUUGGUACUUAGAGGACAAUAUCAGAACAUACUGUUUUGAGCCUUCCAAAGUGAACAAAGAUGAUGAGGACUUCCAGGAAAGCAAUAAAAUGCACUCAAUCAAUGGAUACAUGUAUGGAUACCUCCCAAACCUCACAAUGUGUGUGGAAGAUAAGAUAAAAUGGCAUCUUUUUGGCAUGGGUAAUGAAGCUGAUAUCCAUUCAGCCUACUUUCAUGGACAGACUUUAAUAGAAAGGCAUCAUCGAGUUGACACCAUCAGCCUCUUCCCAGCCACAUUCAUUGAUGCUGUCAUGGUACCAAGGAGCCCUGGGGAAUGGCUGCUCAGCUGCCAAGUGAAUGACCACAUUGAAGGUGGUAUGCAGGCCCUUUUUAAAGUAGAAGAUUGCAAGAAAUCCACACCCAGUCACAGUGAGAGUACAAAGAUAAGACAGUACUUCCUUGCGGCUGAAGAGAUCAUCUGGAAUUAUGGCCCAUCUGCAGUGAACCAUUUUACAGGACAAGAAUUAAUUGUCGACAGUGAAUCUCACAUCUUUUUUGAACAAAGUGAGACAAGAAUUGGUGGCUCCUACAAAAAAGCAAUUUACAAAGAAUACACAGAUGAUUCUUUCACUGAACAUAAAAAAAGGCUUGCAGAGGAAGAACACCUUGGACUCCUAGGACCUGUGAUCAGGGCUGAAGUGGGUGAGCGCAUCAGGGUGACCUUCCGGAACAACGCCAGCCGCCCGUUCAGCAUCCAGCCCCACGGCGUGAGCUACCGCAGGAGCGGCGCCGGGGCGCGCUUCGGCACCGGUACCGAAUCUCCAGCCUCUCAUGUGAGUCCCGGCACCACAUUUACGUAUGAAUGGGAUGUGCCAGAAGAUGUGGGUCCCACAGAGCAAGACCCAGACUGUUUAACCUGGCUUUAUUACUCAGCUGUGGAUGCAGUCAGAGACACCAGUUCUGGCCUUGUGGGUCCUCUCCUAGUGUGCAGGAAAGGAGCUCUUCUUUCCUCUGGGAAACAGAAAAAUGUGAACGUGGAGUUCUUUCUACUUGCCACAGUAUUUGAUGAGAAUCUGAGCUGGUAUUUGGAUGAUAAUAUUUUGAUGUUUACACUAAGUCCUGAUAAAAUUGACAAAGAUGACGACGAUUUCCAAGAGUCUAACAAAAUGCACUCCAUUAAUGGUUAUAUGUAUGGAAAUCAGCCUGGUCUUGAGAUGUGUAAAGGAAGUGUGGUCUCCUGGCAUUUGAUGGGCUUGGGUUCAGAAGUUGAUGUCCAUGGGAUAUACUUCUCAGAAAACACAUUUGUAACUAAAGGAACAAGAAGGGAUACAGCAAAUCUGUUUCCACAUACAGUUCUUACAGCUAUUAUGAAGCCUGAUUCUGAAGGAGUUUUUGAAGUGUCCUGCCUGACAGCGGACCACUACACUGGGGGCAUGAAACAGAACUACAAAGUGAAAAAAUGCCACUGGUGGAAUGUAGAUUUAUCUAUGUAUUUGCAUGAAAAGAUUUACUACAUUGCUGCAGUGGAAGUUGAAUGGGACUAUUCUCCAAACAGGACAUGGGAAUUCGAGCGGCACCAAUACCAUGAGGAAAGCCCUGGCAAUCCGUUUUUAAAUAAAGAUGACAAAUUCAUUGGCUCAAAGUACAAAAAGGUGGUAUAUCGCGAGUACACCGAUCUGACAUUCAGUACUCCCAAAAACAGAGCAAAGGAGCAGCAGCACCUGGAAAUUCAAGGGCCGCUGCUUGUGUCAAAUACUGGAGAUAAAAUUAUAAUAGUUUUUAAAAACUUAGCAACAAGACCUUAUUCUAUCCAUGCCCAUGGAGUGAAAACAGACAGUUCUGUUGUUGCUGUAACUAACCCAGGUGAUACAAAAAUGUAUGUCUGGAAAAUCCCAGAGAGAUCUAGUCCUGGGAGAGGAGAUUCACAUUGUAUUGCAUGGGCAUACCAUUCAACAGUGGACAUUGUUAAGGACACUUACAGUGGAUUAAUAGGCACACUCGUUGUGUGUCACAGACAUUACCUGCCAUCAUUUCAUACUAAAAAGAAAGUUCAGUUUGCUCUUCUCUUUAUGGUUUUUGAUGAAAAUGAGUCAUGGUACUUGGAUGAAAACAUUAAAACGUAUUCUACCAACCCACACCGCGUUGACAAAGAGGAUGAGGGAUUCCUUGAAAGUAAUAAAAUGCAUGCCAUUAAUGGAAAGGUGUUUGGAAAUUUGCAUGGCCUGACUAUGCAAGUUGGAGACAAUGUCAGCUGGUAUCUGAUGGGAAUGGGCAAUGAGAUAGACAUUCACACAGUACACUUCCAUGGCCACAGCUUUGACUACAAGCAAACAGGGGUUUACCGGGCAGAUGUCUUUGAUCUGUUCCCUGGGACCUUUCAAACUGUGGAAAUGACCCCACAGAACCCUGGAACCUGGCUGUUACACUGUCAUGUUACUGACCACAUCCACGCAGGCAUGGAAACGACCUACACUGUACUCCCAAAGGAAGGUUACACCACUGGAAACACAUGCCUAUGCCACUUUGACACAUAAAACAUACUUGCUGUAGCAGUCUCCUAAGAAGGCACAACUUUCUCUGAAUGCUCUUAGAAGAUCUUCCUUCUCAUCUGAUUCAAGGAAAUGAGGGUCCAUUAUAGCUGCUCUGACCAGUAAGUGAGCCUCACUUAGAAGAUGGAUGCAGCUCUCGGUUUUAACAUUUUCGUAAGUUCUACUAUAUUCUACCUAGAACAGACACAGCAUAUACUUAGGCUGCUGACAAAAAUUAAGAAUAUACAGGAACAAUUUUAAUGAGGACAGCAUCUGCUUGAAAUAGGAUUAUGGGCUAUUCACAAGAAAUAUAUUACACCAUAUUCAGCCAUGACAUGCAUCAGAGAUUAACUAGCAGUAUUUAUUUUUAGUUAGCAAAUAACAAAAGCAGGAGUUGGGCAAUACCAUUUCUCUGUAAAGCUGAAUUGUUGAAACAGUGUUGAUAAUAUAUAAAUUCCAACCAGGCUCUGACUCAGAAUUUGUUCUGGAUUUGAUGCUGUCAGCCUUUCUGGAACUAGAGAAAAGAGUUGAGUUGUCAGUGUUGAAAUAAACACUAUGCAACCAAAAAAAACCCACUCAUUUUGUAAUUCAAAUGCAUAAAUAGGUAUAUCUGCAGACCAGUAAGUGCUGGAGAAUUAAGCUGUGAAUCCUAGUCAUACUGGCUAAUAACAAAACAGGGAUAGGCAUGUUCACACAUAAGAGUCAUCAUCAGAACUGUCUACUACAUCUUCUCCUGUGCAUAACACUAGGGAGUAUCAGGAAUCAUAGAAUCAUCAAAAGGUUUGGCUUGGACCUUAAAGAUCAUGUAGUUCUAACCCCCCAUCAUAGGCAUGGGAUGCCACCCACUAAACAGGUCAGACUGCCCACGGCCUUAUCCAACCACACCUUGAACAGUUAAGUAAUUUAAAUUAGCUGUUUAAUCUCCUGUAAGGAUUUUGUGCAUGGUUGCCCUGCAGCCCUAUCAAAGUGCUUGCCAACACAUGGCAUAAAGAGGUAUCAGAAUACUUUUAUUCUAAAACUUUGGCUUGGUCUAUAAAGCCCUAAGGUUAAACACACUGUAAGAAAACAGACUCUUUUUGUUCUGUUUUUAAAUUUUAUUUUAACUGUACGGAUGUAAAGAUGUGUACAUCUUUAUUUUCAAAUGAUCGUGCUACGUAACUUAGCAUUUGUCCACUACAUUUUUAACAGGAGGCAAAAAGUGUAUCUUCUUCAAAUGCCAAUUUGAUAGACUAUUUGAAUAUUUUAAACAAUGCAGCUGGCAGAAAAUGUGCUUUAUACAAGAAAACUACAGUAUUUGGAAUAGUCAUUUUUCCUGACAGGCUUCUCCUUAUAUUCUUCUGAAUAAUGUCUGCUCUAGACUUUAUGAAAUACUGGGUCAACUAACUCCUCAAUCAACUAAAGCUGUCUCACUCUUGCUAAUUAGCUUAAAUUUACUUUAAUAAAUGUGGUUUCUGAAUAACUGCUUAGAAUAGCUCCUUAGCUGUUUUAUGAAAAGCCUUCAAAAAUGGAAAGGGAAUAGCAAUUUCCCUGUAAACCUGUAAAAAGUCCCAUAUACCUCUGGCUACACACGUGCUACAACUGUAACUUUGGGCAAAGUCUGACUUGGCAAGAACCCUUAGGCAAAGAUAAGACAUUUAAUUUUGUGCUGCAACUUAUUUUGUAACCUGUAGCUUUGGCACUACAUAUUUUUGGUACUCUACAUUUUUUCUCAAGAUAUAUACUUUUUAAAAUCUCAGGAUAAAUUCUUAGUAAUGCUAUUUUUACAUUUUGUUGAUUUCAGGCAUUUGUGACUUUAUGCUCAUUUCUUCUAUGUCAGUAAAUACAACAGAAUUGAAAAAAAUAAAAGCUUGAUUGCUCUUCUCAGUCACUUAGAAGAAAAUUACUUCUCCAGAGUUUUUCAACUAAGAACCACUCUUAAAUUGCAAUAUCCACAAGUUCAACACUGUACACAGAGCUUCCACUGAGCUAUAUGGAACACCAUGCCAUAUCCAACACUAUUUUUUUCCUACCAUGUGUCAUCCUUUACCCUGCUUUGCUUUGGAAUUCACCAUUGGACCCUGGCAUCAAUUCUUCUUUAGCUUUUGAUAGAAAUUUUGGUGAAAAAAGAAGACUAAAUCGGCUUCCUGAGGAGGGGACCUGGAAACACAGGUGCUGAACUCUUCUCCAUGGGAUCCUGGGAAAGGCUCAAAGCUGUGCCAGGGGUGAGUUACACUUGAUGUGAGGAACCAGUUUCUUACCAAGAAUGGUGAAACACUGAACAGGCUUCCUAGAGAGAUGGUUGACGCCCUAGACCUGUCACUGUUUAAGAGGCAUUUGGACUGUGCCCUUAACAAUGGCACAUCCCUGAAGUGGUCAGGCAACUGCAGUAGAUGAUUGCUGCAGAUCUCUUCCAAGUGAAAUAUUCUAAAAUACUGAAAAAUGGACUUUCCUCGUAUCCCAUGAUUUCCUCAGUUCAAAAGAAACACCAAACCUUAUAAAAACCCCAGAAGUCAAAACAUCAGGAGUUUCCUUUCAAAAAGACAAAACACACAACGCAGUUUGGUUUUUUGUAGUAAAUUAACCCAUAAAAGGGAAAAUACAUCUGUAAUACCUGAAAAGCAGAUACUGCACUUGGAAGUGCUUUGUGUCUUCCGUAGGUAACUCUGUAGAUUCCAGUGUCACAGGUAUCUCACAUAGCUUACUUUCUUCCCCAAGCAGUUCCACUGGCUUCUGACAUAUGAUGAACUCAUCUAAUUCAAGCUGUAAAGGAUGUGUUGAAGGAUUUUCAUCUUUCACACCUGAGCAAUGAAAAUGCUAUCUUAAUUGUUCAAACCAUUCCAUGCAGCAGUAAGAAAAUAGUAUGACAAUAUUGAUUAAAUACUCCAAUUACA